AAUGAACGCUGGCGGCAGGCCUAACACAUGCAAGUCGAACGAGUGGCGGACGGGUGAGUCAUGUCUGGGAAACUGCCUGAUGGAGGGGGAUAACUACUGGAAACGGUAGCUAAUACCGCAUACCAUCAGAUGUGACCAGAGGGGUUUCUCUUGUGGGUGGGGUAACGGCUCACGAAGGCGACGAUCCCUAGCUGGUCUGAGAGGAUGACCAGCCACAGUGGACCUGAUACACGGUCCAGGCUCCUACGGGAGGCAGCAGGGGGGAAUAUUGCACAUUGUGCAUAAGCCGGAUGACGCCAUGCCGGUUGUAUGAAGCGGGCCUUCGGGUUUUAAGGUACUUUCAGCGUGGAGGCGUUACCCGCAGAAGAAGCGCCGGCUAACUCCGUGCCAGCAGCCGCGGUAAUAC
rnacentral:rRNA from 1 species